UCAACACUACACUCCAUCUCCUCCCUCCUUCCCCAAAUCGGCAGCCAUCAACCACCACCCUACCACCAUCAUUCGACCUUGUUCCAUCCAUUCUAUUACCAUACAAGGGUGCAAGGAGACACACAACGAAGCUUGGUGCGUGCGGAAGUCGAAGGACCGCUCUCGUUUUCUUUUAUCCACCACUUUUCUACACUCGAACACCCCUAGCCUUGUGCUAGUACAGCUUAAGCUGAAAUUUUUCUGCUGAAAAUGUGCGUGAAGUUGCUUAGUGUUGAUUGCGAAUAGGAAGCAUGCUCACUUAGGACCGGACGAGGCCUUAGUGAUUUAAUAAUGAUAUUAGUCUAUGUUUGAUUUGCUUGUUUAACUUUAAAACAAUGUUUAAUAUUUAAUGAAAUGAAACUCUUCGUAUCCAUGGUUU
rnacentral:lncRNA from 1 species